GGAGGGGUCCAGAUUGUCUCGCUUGCCACAGUGGAAAACCCAAAGGUUCUAGCUUCCAGAUUCCUGAACUGGCCAUGUACCUUUGGAGAGUAUAUUUUAGACUCUAAUACAAAUGAGCUCCCCGGUUCUCUCUCCCCGGGACCCAGUGCCUGGAUGCCACUAUUGCUUGCAGUGGGGCUUGGUCCAUUCUGGGACAACAUCAACAGAAACCAGCCCCGAGGAAAUCCUACCCUUGUAGGGUGGUGGUGCAUCAGAGGUUCGGUUGGAUGCUGAUUAACAAAACUUAGACAUAUUUGUGUAGAACUCCCAGGGAGCCAGAAUCCCAGGGAAUCAGGGCUCUUGGCUUCAGUGAUUGGUGCCACCAUCCAUGAGAAGAAACAGACAAUUCACAGACUGUUCUGGAAAGGAGGACAUAUUUCUGAUUUUAGUGUCUUAUUUUGUAUUGUCAUACACAGAGCUGGGAGGGCAGGGUGUAGGGUGGUCGGCCUGGGGCAUGCAUGUGUGUGUGUGUGUGUGUGUGUGUGUGUGUAACUGCUGUCUCUGGCCUGCUCAGUGGUUCUGAGCUUCUCCUUCCCCUUUGUUUCUCCGUUGUUGCCUUUGGGUUUUUGAAAGAGCAUAAAGUUGGAUGUCACAAAAAAGACUUCCUCCCGUACCAAGUGAAGUUUGAGCACCCACAGAAAUGGGUCAGAGAAUGUAGUUAGAUGACAGUAUCACAGACCUACCUUCUAUGGAGUCUCUUCACUGUGUACAAUGAGUCUUGUUAUGUCUUGAGAAGAUACAGGGACUUGGGUUCAUGGUGUGUCAGGACAGUGCUAUACAGCAGCGGGGAGAAUGGUGACGUCCUUGGGUCACUCGAUGGCUGUUUCCAUAGGGUCCUGGUCUGUUAGAUGAAGCUUUGCUUUGGGCAUAGAGUGGCUUAGCAACCAGUUAGAGAAUGUUCAAAUUCUAGAUUCCUAAGUAUAGAACUGGAACACUGGAGGGUGCCUCAGAGCCUUUACCCAAGUCGUGAUCACAAAUGAGAAGAAGACUCGAGGGGAUUGAUGAGCUGAGGCCAGGCUGGACCACUAGAAUGCAGCAAGAGCAGCUGAGCCCAGUGCUCUGGUCUCUAUUAUGUGGAGCGUAAGGGAGAGGGAGAUGGAUGAGGUCAUACUAUUGCAAUCACUUGGGAAAAAAUACACAAACUUCCAAAACUGCAAGAUGCUUUCUACUGCCACCAGACCUCCUUUGGAGGUUUUCCUACCGCUUAAUAACCAGGGAUGCUUUCCCAGAGCAGGGUGGGCGUUUGAUGGAUUUAUUCAAUAAGAGCGAGGAAGGACAAACUGGAACCAGGAAGCCACCACUCAACUAUUUGUGGACUUUGGAGGAGGUUUGAAGAAUUCACAACUGAACAGUUUUUACAAAGGCAUUUUGAGCCUUUCACUUUCUCGUGUGAACAUUUCUGUAGUUGUCAUCGUGACAGAAAGUGUAGACUUCAGUGUAGAAGUCUGGUUGCCAGCUAUGCCCAGAGGGAUUUUGCUGACUAAAUAUACUGUUCACUUUAAUAUUCAUCUUAGACCUCUGCUGUGUUCUCCUAGGACCCUGACCACCCACCAGGGUUCUUUGAGGACUGGAUGUGUUACAUUCUUGAAGUCAUUAUGGAUCCUCCAGAUCACGAGGGCGAUAGAUAAGUAAGGUGGCUAACUUUCUGUCUUUUCUACUGAGGAACUUGUUGGCGUCUGACAGAGCAUCUCAGAUUUCUUACAUAAAAUGUGGAAUUGUCAAUAGUCAGAUGCAUCAGUGGCCAAGGCUAUGGUGUGCAGUUUCUAUCAGCGUGUACAGGACAUCCUGCCUGGUUUUGGCCUCAAGGAAGCAAUGGUGAGAUUUCGUAGCUCAUCGUCUCCUGGUUGGAGCAAAGGGUGCCAAACAGAGGAUACAGUGACAGCCCCUUACUGGAAGAACAUUUUAGGUUUCUUACGUCCAGGCUUAGAGAAGUGCAGCCGAAGAAUUUCUAAAGAAACACAGCGUCUCUCAAUCCAUCAGACUAUUAAACAACAAUGGGCCCCUAAUAAAUGAGAAUUUCCCCAGGAAUCUCCUACCGGAAGGAAAAGUUCAACUGUGAACAAGAGAUUUCAUUCAAUUUUAACAACAUGUCAGAUCACCAGUGGAGGCUCAGACAGGGAUGGGUCAGCGGCGGGCCAAGGCAGUGUCAGAGCCUGGGAUCUGUCUGGACUUUGCAACCCUGGAAGGCUUUGCUGCAGACCAGAGAGCUGCCAGGAGGCCCCAGAAAUGCCUGAGAACAAAGAGGCGGUAAACACACACGCUGAAACCUUUUACCAACUGGCUGUGGCCCAAACCAAAAUGAGAAAUGAAUUGCUGAGGGCUGCCAUUGAUGGACACAGAGAGUGUUAAAACCCAGAGCACAUAAACCAGGAUGAGAAAAUUAAUCAGAAGAUAAAAGACAGCGGCUUUGGGAUCCCUGGCCGAGCCCUCCUGCAUGCUCCUGGGACAUCCUUUCAGACCAGCAGCACCAUCCCGUGCAGGGGCUGUGACAGAUGACUUAUAAUGUAGACAUCACCUCUGCUGGUGGACAGCCUUCGGAUCUGCUGAGUCCUUUUAUAAUAAAUAAAACCAAACACGACAAAACACUAUAAACCCUUGCCUUCACGAGUGUGUCAUAGCCUGGUGUUAGGAACGGUUUGUUAAAAAAGAUCAAAGAAACCUGGAGUG
rnacentral:lncRNA from 1 species